rnacentral:rRNA from 1 species
GAUGAACGCUGGCGGCGUGCCUAAUACAUGCAAGUCGAGCGAACAGAUGAGGAGCUUGCUCCUCUGACGUUAGCGGCGGACGGGUGAGUAACACGUGGAUAACCUACCUAUAAGACUGGGAUAACUUCGGGAAACCGGAGCUAAUACCGGAUAAUAUAUUGAACCGCAUGGUUCAAUAGUGAAAGACGGUUUUGCUGUCACUUAUAGAUGGAUCCGCGCCGCAUUAGCUAGUUGGUAAGGUAACGGCUUACCAAGGCAACGAUGCGUAGCCGACCUGAGAGGGUGAUCGGCCACACUGGAACUGAGACACGGUCCAGACUCCUACGGGAGGCAGCAGUAGGGAAUCUUCCGCAAUGGGCGAAAGCCUGACGGAGCAACGCCGCGUGAGAGAUGAAGGUCUUCGGAUCGUAAAACUCUGUUAUUAGGGAAGAACAAAUGUGUAAGUAACUAUGCACGUCUUGACGGUACCUAAUCAGAAAGCCACGGCUAACUACGUG